UUAAGUUCAGCGGGUAUCCCUACCUGAUCCGAGGUCAAAAAUAGAAAAUAGCUUCUGGGAGCUGAUCCAAAGUCUCCGAGUUCGCGUUUCUGCUGCGCUCGAAGCCAAUGUACCGGCCGCCAAUGAAUUUAAGGCGAGUCCGCGCCGAGGCGGGACAGACACCCAACACCAAGCAGAGCUUGAAGGUUUAAAUGACGCUC
rnacentral:misc_RNA from 1 species